rnacentral:misc_RNA from 1 species
AACUAAUCCCUACAUAAAUAAAAAAUUACAUAAUCAAAACGACGGCGUAUUCAAUUGUGUUGUGUAUCGUUUAACGUAACUGACUGUGGUGGUUCCGAUGUUAAGCGGCGGCGAGAAGCGCGGCGGCGAUUUGGAAGAAGCGGUGGAGAAGGAGGGCGGAGGAAAGCGGAACGCUGAGGAUUAUAAUAAGGAGCAUUCCCAAAGCCACGCUAGGUCGAGUAUUCAUCAAAUGAGAUUGAAGAUAGCCUAAAGCUUCACAGAUAUGAGAAUCGUAAUUGGAAUAAUACCGUUUUUCCCAAUCAAACCAAUCGGCCGGCGGAUCGUGGCUUUGCUCCGCCAUCUUGAUCUCGUGGAUUCGUUUCCGGAGAACG